rnacentral:lncRNA from 1 species
GUAGAAGUCAACAGGUGGUUGUCCAAAUAUAAAUGAAAAGGCUUAACUCUAAAACAUCGCUGUCUGAGGGGAUUUUUAGAAGACUUUACUCUGUGGUUUUGGCAGUGACCGUGUGUUUCUUUGCCAGCACAAAGAGAAAUUUGACCUGUGUCUCUCAGGAGUUAGAGAUUUUCAUCACUGCUGUCCCCACACUAGACCUAUCAACCCCUUCUCCACCCCAACAAAUCAGGAGACUCAAAGAAGAAUAGUGAGGAGAGAGAGAAAGAGAGAAAGGCUGAAGAAACAAGGGAUGGAAACGGUACAGGAAUGCUUAGUACUGUGUGUACAGCAAUGACGUUCACUGCCCUUCUUAUCAUGACGGAGCCAAUGACUCUGAGAGAAGCCUGGGCAGGUGUUACCUCUGUUUUUGGAGGAUCUCCAUUCAUCCCUCAAAGGAAUAACAUUUGGCAUCUUCUAGGCCUUUUGGAAAAAUGAAUUAUCAGCUGCAGGUAGUUCCAAAACUAGCUAGAACAAUCCUCUACAUCCUGGAAAGUACAGUUCUCUGAGGCCAAGAGCCAGCCACACUUGGGAUGGAAGCUCACACAUGAAAUUCAUCUCAGAUCAGCUCUGCAAUCCUCAAAUCAUUACAAACUCCUUCCAAUAUAACUUGGAGCCAAAAAGUAUGAUCAUUCAAAGUGACUGUACUUGUUUUCAAUGGUCAGGAGUGGCACCUACAUGGCUUAGCAAGUUCCAGUAACAUCAAGGACACCCAAGUAAUAAAAGUAACAAGUAAAGAAAUGUGGAUUUGGGGGAUUCAAAGAACUUUUAAUUAGAAGUUGUGAUUCUGCUCAACCAACAUGGUUUGAUCUAUAGUCCAUCAUGUUCUUCAGGAAGUCUCUAUGGAAUGGUUAACAACUUACAGCCACAGUAUUAGGAAACUUUAAUCAGGUGCAUUUUAAACAAAUUCUCCAAAUCACAGGGCAAUCGAAGAAUAACGAUACAAAUUUAAGUAUCCAUUCAAAUAUGUCUGUCUUUUUAGCCAAAAGCUUGACCUUGGGUCAGCCUGUAUCUAAUAUCUGAACAGCACCCCUGCAAGAUCUUUCUCAAAUUGGAAUGCAAAGUCUUGGGAAGAAUAUUCAAGCAAAAUAGAAUCCCUGAAACUUCAUUUAAAGGCCUCAAAUUUGAACAACUCUAUUUUUCAGAGAUAGUACUGAAUGCUCCAUGAUGAAGAGUGGAAGGACUGAAGCUGAAAUUGUGGGACUAAAUCUUUCCAGAACUCAUGAUAGCUGUUCCUCCACUGCUUAAAAAACAGGCUUCCAGGGCAACAUGGAAUCAGCAUUCAUUCUUGGCAUUUUUGAGUACCUGAAAAUAAUAUAACUAAAACUUAUGAAACUCAAAAUGUUUUUAUCUCCUGUGUUGCUUAGACUUAGAAUUUCUAUUUCUGAAGCCAGAAAAAGAAAGCUAAUCCAAGGGCUUAAUCCACAUCUCUGAAGCCAAGUUCUAUAUUCAGUAAUACUUAAUUGAAAGAUGUGCAACUUAAUUUAGGUUUUUCUUUUAAGAAGCUAGCUCAUGAAAUAAUUUCUGCCUACUCAUUUUGGAUUAUUUCUAAAAACAGAAGGCCCAAAAUUAUUAUCAAUCUAUAUUCUUAACUAUAUGGAGAUCCUAUUUGGGGGUCUUUUCACUGUAAAUAGCAGCAGUGAUGGAGGGAAGGAAAGGGUCUGGUGAGAGAAGACAGAGAGCUAAAACUUCAGGUGAGAAAGAUUCUACAAUCAUUGGAAGUUUUAAAAUAUCUGUAAUGCCUAAGAUCCAUUACUACACAAAAACUCAUUCUCCUUUUCCAUAACAAUCAUCAUCAUAAAACUACCAAUUAAGUAUACCUUUCCUCUGUUGACAAAAGAUACAAGAUGGUCAGUUAGUACCUUGCUUUUGGUGAGUGUGAGAGUACUUGUAAUCCCUAGAAGAAAAAGUGGUUAACUGUGUGUGUGGAGGCAGUGGUGGUGGUGGGGGCGGAGGUAGUUUAGAAUUCCCGUAUGCCUCUGUGUUCACUUAGUCAUUCAGAAAGUAUUUAUCGAGUGACCGUAUGCCAGGAAAUGUAAGUCCUUCUUUGUAGCAGUGAACAAAAGUGACAAAAAUCCCUGCUUUCCUGAAGCAUAGUCAGAAGAGACUAAUAAUAAAUCAACACAUAUUUUAAUAGUGUUGAUAAAACAAUGGAAAAAAAACAAACAAGAGAGGGGGAUAGGGAGAUUUGGUGGGUUUGCCAUUUAAAAUAAGAUGAUGAGACAUAUGGAGAUUAGGGGCAACAGUCAUCCAAAUGAGGGAGUAGAAAUGGCGAGUUCAACAAGCAGGGAGGUGACUCCUGUGGUUGGUGUGUAGCGAGUAGGAGGGUCAGAGGGUAGUGAGGGGAGAAGGCAACACUGUGCAGGACUUUUGGUACUGUAAGGAUUUUGGCUUUUAUUCUGAGAUGGAAAGGCACUGGAAGCUUUUGAGCAGAGUGAACUCAUGAUCAGACCUAUGUUUCAAAAAACAAAUUGUUGAGUAAAGACUGAAAAGGGGAAAGAGUAGCAGCAGAGAGGCCAGCCAGUAGGUGGAGUGGAUAGGGUGGCAGUGGGGAAGGUGGCUGGAUUUCAGAUAGGUUUCAAAGGUAGAGUUGAAAAGGUCUGCUGACAGGUUAGAUGUAGGUUGAGGUUUUCUAAUUACAUUUCUAUUAGAUUAGGAAAGCAGAGUCAGUAAUGACUGCAAAGUUUUGGUCCUGAGCAACUGGAGGUAUGUGUGGAGCAUAUGCUUGGGAAGUGACGUGUAAUUUUCUAAGGCUAUUGGAUUAAAUGGCGAGAAGGGGCAGUCAAAAUUAGGGGGAGGGGGUCAAUCUUGUAUAUUUGGACUUUGUUGUGUUGUUUGUAUGUGUAAAGGGAAGAGAAGACAGAUGAUUUUUGGUGACUGAAUAUCCCACCACCGUAUCCUCUUCCCAUCAAAGCUAGCAGUGGAAUUUUUAAGUAUGAGAAGGGCUUCUAAUUCACGUCAAGGAAAUAGGUAGACUCCCUCUUUAAAUUUUCUUAUCAUUGGGGCUGAAGGAUCCCCACACUUAAAAGUCUCCUGUGUUUUGGUGUCAGGGGUUGUGGGGAUGUGACGGUUGUUUAUGAAAGUUGAAUUCCAGUUGUUUCUAAAUGUAACAAGAAAGAGGAAGGCCUGUCAGCAAGGGAAUCGGAAUCCGCCUUGACUUGAAUAAGAUUAAGGACAACCCAAGUAUUUUGGGAAAUGUGUGAGGAGUUUUAGUUUUCAGCUUGAUAGUGGUAAUGGUGGGGAUGAGGGCCAAUACAUAUAUUUGUAUGUGUUCAGGAAUGGUGGUUGCAGGGGAGAACGUUGAAAGGAAACAAGCUGAUUCUUACCAAUUCCUGUCUGCUCUAUCAUCACUCUUCUUCAAUGCAGGUGGUAACACUGGAUCUUUGCUGAACGAAGCCUGUAGAAUUACUUUCUUCAUUCACUGCCUCUCCUUUCUUACUGCCCACUCUGGUCCUUACCUCCUGAAAUCUCAGCUUUCUCUCUUCCUAUUUAGCUAAACUUACUCUCUUAACAAUCAUUCAUGAUCCACCGCUCCCAAAGUCAGGACCCUUGACUUGGUUCUCACUUCCCUGACCUCUUGUCAGUAUUUAGUACCCAUCACCUACCACAGGCAUGGACGCAUGUCCUGCCAGGCUCCUGGCUGUCUCCUCUCUGCACUGGCUGUCUGUUCCACUCUCAGAAUGUUCUUCGUCAUAACCUUCUCUGGUCCUUCCUGAUUCCUUACUGCAGUUAGGUUUUGAAUGUUGCUUCUUUGGCUUUUCUUGCUACACUUCCUUGCUUGGUCAUAUCAUCUCUACAUCUAGGCCAGAUUUUCAUAAAGAAAACUCCCACAUAGCCAAACCCUAACCUUUGGUGACUUGCCAAGAAAUUCCAUUGUAUUCACAUAAGAGUUAUGGUCUUUACUCUCUAAUUCACAGUCACUUCACAGACUUUCCCCUUCUUCUUGCCUAUUGAUCCCUUUCAUGUCUCUGAGAAUGCAUACGUAGCCACUCCAGGCUGGGUAGCUCCAAACUUUGCUAAUGCCAUUCUACCUGGAAUGUCCUCUUUCGUCUGUGCCUUCCCGAUACUAAGCAUCUUAAAAACAGCCUAAAUGUCGCUUCAUGAUUUUUCUAAGUAAUAUUUUACCUCUGAACUCCCAUAGCAUUUCCCCCCAUCACUAGUAUUAGUGCAAUUUUUUUAUUAUAAUUAUGACAUCUUGUCAACCCCAGGCUACCCUUUGUGAAGGCAGGAUAUGUUUCUGAUUCAUGUGGGUAUCAGAAUACUCAACACAGUGCCUACAACAAAUCCUUGACUGGAACUUCAAUUAUUUUGAGUUGAUAAACUCCAGAGAAAUAUGAAAUGACCUGCCAUGAAAACAGAGUUGUAUAGUGUGAUAGCCAGCCCAGAGGUGCAUGUUCUGAGAUAAGUGGGCUGUGGUGUGGGUACAUCAGUUAAGAAAGCACUUUAUAAUACAGCCCUGAAACCUUUUUAUCACAAUAUUUCUCUUCACGAAAACAAAACCAUCCAAGACACUUUAGAACAAAUGCAUUCUCUCAAUAAUCAGCAUUUGGAAUUAUUUUAAACACUGGGAAAAUUCUUGGCCACUAAAAAAGUUAUAAGAAGUGAAUGACUUGCAGAUAUGUAAAUAGUAGUACUAAUCUGAAUAUGUUGGCAUAUAUUCUAAGACACAUUUAACACUACAAUUUUUGUUGAGUAAUGAGUGUGGAUAAAGUUGUAGAUAGUGUCGGUCACUCAUUGGAAUAAGAUUAACUUAAAUUUGUCACAUUAUUUCUCUUCUCUCUAAAGGGGACAACAGAAAUACUUUCUUAUUGUUCCUAUGUCCUGUGUCGUAUGUCCAGUGAAGGAGACUCCCCAAGUUGGCUUGCUCGCUAACAAAAAGGAAUGAUGUUGGUAAACAUGGAAUCAGUGAGAUUGUUACUCCUCAGGUUCCUGUAUGGACUGGUGAUUGUUAUCUAUAUAUAAUCUCCAUUUUCUUUUAAUUCUACUAAAACAGUGGUUAAGAUAUAAAUUCCAAUUAGGUAAUAAACUUUGCCAAAGAAAAAACAGAGAGAACUCUUUAUAUGAAGUAAAUUUCUCAGACUAGAGUAAUUGGGACACCUCAUUCUCACUAUACUUGGUUUGCUCACAAUAGUUAUUUCGAUUUAAUUUUUGGGAAGUGAAUAACUGGUUCCCCUGCAACCUACAUUUAUUUCUUCUUCUUUUUUAUUUAAGCAUGGAAAAG